rnacentral:tRNA from 6 species
GUCCCUGUAGUUCAAUUGGACAGAACGCUUCCCUGCGAAGGAAGAGAUUGGCCGUUCGAGUCGGCCCAGGGACACAA